AGAAAGACACAAGUAACCAAAAUGACAUAGUUUAUGACUUAUAUAGCCACCACUUAUAAUACAUGACUUUAGGGGUCAAAAGCCAUUGAAAAGACAAAACAACCCUUACUUAUAACUAAAUAAAAAUAAAAGAAAACUAAAAUAAAUCUUAACUUACAAAAUAUAAAAUAAAACAAAAUAAAAAUCUGGAAUUUGACUUAACAAUUAAAAAAACUGAAAUUUGCAUUAACAAUUAAAAAAAGAAAAGAGAAAAGAGCCCUAAUUAAAACAUGAACUGAACGGUUUCUUCAUUUCAAAUUCUCGUGCUCUUCUUCUUCUUCCUCACAUCCAACCACCGGCGAGCACUACUCCCUGCGGCCACUACUCCCUGCG
rnacentral:lncRNA from 1 species